CGUAAUCCGGAUCGAGGACAGUGUAUGGUGGGCAGUUUGACUGGGGCGGUCUCCUCCUAAAGAGUAACGGAGGAGUACGAAGGUGCGCUCAGACCGGUCGGAAAUCGGUCGUAGAGUAUAAAGGCAAAAGCGCGCUUGACUGCGAGACAGACACGUCGAGCAGGUACGAAAGUAGGUCUUAGUGAUCCGGUGGUUCUGUAUGGAAGGGCCAUCGCUCAACGGA
rnacentral:rRNA from 1 species